rnacentral:rRNA from 1 species
GAUGAACGCUGGCGGCGUGCCUAAUACAUGCAAGUCGAGCGAACAGACGAGGAGCUUGCUCCUCUGACGUUAGCGGCGGACGGGUGAGUAACACGUGGAUAACCUACCUAUAAGACUGGGAUAACUUCGGGAAACCGGAGCUAAUACCGGAUAAUAUAUUGAACCGCAUGGUUCAAUAGUGAAAGACGGUUUUGCUGUCGCUUAUAGAUGGAUCCGCGCCGCAUUGCUAGUUGGUAAGGUAACGGCUUACCAAGGCAACGAUGCGUAGCCGACCUGAGAGGGUGAUCGGCCACACUGGAACUGAGACACGGUCCAGACUCCUACGGGAGGCAGCAGUAGGGAAUCUUCCGCAAUGGGCGAAAGCUUGACGGAGCAACGCCGCGUGAGUGAUGAAGGUCUUCGGAUCGUAAAACUCUGUUAUUAGGGAAGAACAAAUGUGUAAGUAACUAUGCACGUCUUGACGGUACCUAAUCAGAAAGCCACGGCUAACUACGUG